UUUUCUUUUUGUCUUGGUUCUAGCACAUGCAGAUGACGAUCCAGGCUCUCCAGGAUGAAUUGCGGAUCCAGAGGGACCUGAAUCAGCUGUUUCAGCAGGAUAGUAGCAGCAGGACUGGCGAACCUUGUGUAGCAGAGCUGACAGAGGAGAACUUUCAGAGGCUUCAUGCUGAGCAUGAGCGGCAGGCCAAAGAGCUGUUUCUUCUUCGAAAGACAUUGGAGGAAAUGGAGCUGCGUAUUGAGACUCAAAAGCAGACCCUAAAUGCUCGGGAUGAAUCCAUUAAGAAGCUUCUGGAAAUGUUGCAGAGCAAAGGACUUUCUGCCAAGGCUACCGAGGAAGACCAUGAGAGAACAAGACGACUGGCAGAGGCAGAGAUGCACGUUCAUCACCUAGAAAGCCUUUUGGAGCAGAAGGAAAAAGAGAACAGUAUGUUGAGAGAGGAGAUGCAUCGAAGGUUUGAGAAUGCUCCUGAUUCUGCCAAAACAAAAGCUCUGCAAACUGUUAUUGAGAUGAAGGAUUCAAAAAUUUCCUCUAUGGAGCGUGGGCUUCGAGACCUGGAAGAGGAAAUUCAGAUGCUGAAAUCGAAUGGUGCUUUGAGUACUGAGGAAAGGGAAGAAGAAAUGAAGCAAAUGGAAGUGUAUCGGAGCCAUUCUAAAUUUAUGAAAAAUAAGAUUGGCCAGGUGAAACAGGAGCUGUCCAGAAAGGACACAGAACUACUCGCCCUGCAGACAAAGCUAGAAACACUCACAAACCAGUUCUCAGAUAGUAAACAGCACAUUGAAGUGUUGAAGGAGUCCUUGACUGCUAAGGAGCAGAGGGCUGCCAUCCUGCAGACUGAGGUGGAUGCUCUCCGAUUGCGUUUGGAAGAGAAGGAAACCAUGUUGAAUAAAAAGACAAAACAAAUUCAGGAUAUGGCUGAAGAGAAGGGGACACAAGCUGGAGAGAUACAUGACCUCAAGGACAUGUUGGAUGUGAAGGAGCGGAAGGUUAAUGUUCUUCAGAAGAAGAUUGAAAAUCUUCAAGAGCAGCUUAGAGACAAGGAAAAGCAGAUGAGCAGCUUGAAAGAACGGGUCAAAUCCUUGCAGGCUGACACCACCAACACUGACACUGCCUUGACAACUUUGGAGGAGGCCCUUGCAGAGAAAGAGCGGACAAUUGAACGCUUAAAGGAGCAGAGGGACAGAGAUGAGCGAGAGAAGCAAGAGGAAAUUGAUAACUACAAAAAAGAUCUUAAAGACUUGAAGGAAAAAGUCAGCCUGUUGCAAGGCGACCUUUCAGAGAAAGAGGCUUCACUUUUGGAUCUGAAAGAGCAUGCUUCUUCUCUGGCAUCCUCAGGACUGAAAAAGGACUCACGGCUUAAGACACUAGAGAUUGCUUUGGAGCAGAAGAAGGAGGAGUGUCUGAAAAUGGAAUCACAAUUGAAAAAGGCACAUGAGGCAGCAUUGGAAGCCAGAGCCAGUCCAGAGAUGAGUGACCGAAUACAGCACUUGGAGAGAGAGAUCACCAGGUACAAAGAUGAAUCUAGCAAGGCCCAGGCAGAAGUUGAUCGACUCUUAGAAAUCUUGAAGGAGGUGGAAAAUGAGAAGAAUGACAAAGAUAAGAAGAUAGCUGAGUUGGAAAGUCUCACCUCAAGGCAAGUGAAAGACCAGAAUAAGAAGGUAGCAAAUCUGAAGCACAAGGAGCAGGUGGAAAAAAAGAAGAGUGCACAAAUGUUAGAGGAGGCGCGACGACGGGAGGACAAUCUCAACGACAGCUCUCAGCAGCUACAGGUGGAGGAGUUACUGAUGGCCAUGGAGAAGGUAAAGCAGGAACUAGAAUCCAUGAAAGCAAAGCUGUCCUCCACCCAGCAGUCUCUGGCAGAAAAGGAAACUCACUUGACUAAUCUUCGGGCAGAGAGAAGGAAACACUUAGAGGAAGUUCUGGAGAUGAAGCAAGAAGCUCUUCUGGCUGCCAUUAGUGAAAAAGACGCCAAUAUAGCUCUCUUGGAGCUUUCGUCCUCUAAGAAGAAGACCCAAGAGGAAGUGGCUGCCCUGAAGCGGGAGAAGGAUCGUCUGGUACAGCAGCUUAAGCAGCAGACGCAAAAUCGAAUGAAGCUAAUGGCCGACAACUACGAGGAUGACCACUUCAAAUCCUCCCAUUCCAAUCAAACAAAUCACAAGCCCUCCCCAGACCAGGAUGAGGAGGAGGGUAUAUGGGCAUAGCCAAUCAGAGGCUUAGUUCAGCCAUUUUGUUCAGAACGAUCAUCCAGCCCCUCUUAGAACUUGACC
rnacentral:sRNA from 1 species